rnacentral:snoRNA from 12 species
ACCCUCCGGUUCCCUUUCCCAUCGGAUCUGAACGCUGGUCUUGGUGGUCGUAAAAGGAGGAAAAGGAAAAGUGAAUCUGGCCCUGCAGUGCUUAUAGUCUGGUAUAUAGCUUGUGGGCUAGUUUCAAACAAGG